rnacentral:lncRNA from 1 species
CUAGGCUACAGAAUGAGAUGCACGUAAGAAGUCUGUGACCUGGACCAGAGCAGCCCAGCUGAACACAUGCUGGAUUGGAAGAACCACCUUUGACCUGAAGACCUGUUCAGGAGAGAUUUGAUGAAAAAAAUUAUAUUUUGGCAUCAUCUUGACUCUUGAACUUACUCCCAGAUCAGCUACAAAUUUGUCCUAUGGCCUGAGGCACUGAAAACACGACAGAGCUCUGCAAUA